AUGUUCUGUUUAUUGAUGAUUUCUCUCGCUACACUUGGCUUUACUUUACGAAAUCUCGUAGCGAGGUUCUCUCUAUAUACAAACGAGCUACCAUGGUUCACACCUAGUUUUCCACGCCUAUUCGUACUUUUUGUGCUGACUCCGCUAGAGUAUAUCUCCCAGAUGUUGCGUAGUUUUCUCGCGGAAUAUGGUACUCUUGCCCAGUUCUCCUGUCCUGGUGCCCAUGCUCAAAAUGGUGUUGGGGAACGUAAGCAUCGUCAUCUGCUUGAGACGGCUCAUGCGUUGAUGAUCGCCGCUUCGCUUCCACCCCACUUUUGGGCUAAGGCCGUUUCCGCAUCCACCUAUCAUCAACAUUCAGCCAUCGACUGCCUUGCAGGGUGGUAUUCCUAUGGUGUGUCUCACUGGUCGUUGUCCUGA
rnacentral:rRNA from 1 species